rnacentral:rRNA from 1 species
GUUUUGCAAUUGGAUUGAGAACAACGUACAAACCUUAUCGAUAAACAAUUGGAGGGCAAGUCUGGUGCCAGCAGCCGCGGUAAUUCCAGCUCCAAUAGCGUAUAUUAACGUUGUUGCAGUUAAAAAGCUCGUAGUUGAAAUGAAGGGUGGUUGUGUAAUGAAUACAUUCGUGUAUUUUGUUAUUCUACUACCCUCCUUCUAAAUUCGAUAUAUGAGUAUUAAUUUACUUGUAUAUGGUUUUAGACUUUUACUGUGAGAAAAUUAGAGUGUUCAAAGCAGGCAUUUGCUUGAAUAUAUUAGCAUGGAAUAAUCAUGUAUGAUUUUCAUGAUGUAUUUGAUUGGUUUGGUUCAUGAGAAUAAGAUUAAAAGGGACAGUUGGGGGUAUUCAUAUUCAAUAGUCAGAGGUGAAAUUCUCGGAUUUAUGGAAGAUGAACAAGUGCGAAAGCA